AACGAACGCUGGCGGCACGUUUUAAGCAUGCAAGUCGAACGGCAGUGGGGGCAACCCCAUGAGAGUGGCGAACGGGUGAGUAACACGUAGGUGAUCUGCCUUUGGGUUGGGGAUAGCUUGUGGAAACACAGGGUAAUACCGAAUGAGCUGACAAGGCUUUGGCCAUGUUAGUAAAGGUGCUACGGCACCGCCUAGAGAGGAGCCUGCGGCUGAUUAGCUAGUUGGUGGGGUAAAGGCCUACCAAGGCGACGAUCAGUAGCCGGCCUGAGAGGGUGUACGGCCACACUGGAACUGAGACACGGUCCAGACUCCUACGGGAGGCAGCAGCUAAGAGUCUUCCGCAAUGGGCGAAAGCCUGACGGAGCGAUGCCGCGUGAUCGAUGAAGGUCGAGAGAUUGUAAAGAUCUCUUCCAACUGAGGAAUAAGUGGACCAGGGAAUGGGUUCAUGAUGACGUUAAGUUGGGAAUAAGCCCCGGCUAAUUACGUGCCAGCAGCCGCCGUAA
rnacentral:rRNA from 1 species